rnacentral:rRNA from 1 species
UACGGGGGGGGCAAGCGUUGUUCGGAAUUACUGGGCGUAAAGGGCGCGUAGGCGGCGCAUUUAGUCAGGCGUGAAAGUCCUGGGCUCAACCUGGGAACUGCGCUUGAUACGGGUGUGCUAGAGGAUGGAAGAGGCUCGCGGAAUUCCCAGUGUAGAGGUGAAAUUCGUAGAUAUUGGGAAGAACACCGGUGGCGAAGGCGGCGAGCUGGUCCAUUACUGACGCUGAGGCGCGACAGCGUGGGGAGCAAACAGG